AGCUUUUGAGCUAAAUAUAUUAUAAUAUUAGUUAUUUAUAUAAAGUGUUGUAAAAUUUUAUUAAAAAAUAUAUUUAGGGGUGAUAGGCUAUUCAAAAACUAAGAUAUCUUGAAUCAAUUAAAAGUAUGAGUACAUUUCAACACGACUAUUUAAGUGAUAAGGCUUUAUAGAAAUAUUAACUUUUUUAUAAGAUUUUUUAUUUAUUAUAAUUUAAUAACUAAAUAUUAUUAAUAAAUUAUUAUUCAUAUAUAUUUAUUUAUAUGGAGUAUUUAGAUAAAUUUUAGUUCAUAUAAAUUCUAAUAAUGUUUAUAUUAGUAUAUAUUUUUAUUUUUAUUAGAUGAACUCGGCAAAAAUGUAUUUCUCAACUGUUUAUCAAAAACAUAACUAUGUGAGAAAAUACAUAGCGGUUUCUGCUCAAUGAUUUAUUUAAAUAGCCGCAGUAUUCUGACUGUGCAAAGGUAGCAUAAUCAAUUGACUUAUAAUUGAAGUCUAGAAUGAAUGAAAAUAAUGGGAAGCCACUAUAUUUAGUAAACUUAUAUAAUUUAUUUAUGAAGUGAAAAUACUUCUAUAGACAUAAUAGACGAGAAGACCCUAGAAAUUUUUAGUAAUUAAAAUUUUUAUUUGAGAAUUUUUUUGUUGGGGCGACAAAGUAGCAUAUAAAACCUACUUUAAUUAAACUUGCACUUUUUUUAUUGUUUGAACAAAUUACUCUAGGGAUAACAGCAUAAUAUUUUUAAAGUUUAUGACCUCGAUGUUGGAUUAGGAAAUAAUAACUUAAAAGGUUUUUUAUAUUUGCUCUGUUCGAGCAUUAUACUCCUACAUGAUC
rnacentral:rRNA from 1 species